GACGAACACUGGCGGCGUGCUUAACACAUGCAAGUCGAACGGUGAAGCGCCUUCCUUUUUGGUGGGUGUGGAUGAGUGGCGAACGGGUGAGUAACACGUGAGUAACCUGCCCCCUUCUUCUGGAUAACCGCAUGAAAGUGUGGCUAAUACGGGAUAUUCUGGGUCUGUCGCAUGAUGGGUCUGGGAAAGAUAUUGUUUCGGUGGGGGAUGGGCUCGCGGCCUAUCAGCUUGUUGGUGGGGUGAUGGCCUACCAAGGCGGUGACGGGUAGCCGGCCUGAGAGGGUGGACGGUCACACUGGGACGGAGACACGGCCCAGACUCCUACGGGAGGCAGCAGUGGGGAAUAUUGCACAAUGGGCGCAAGCCUGAUGCAGCGACGCCGCGUGAGGGAUGGAGGCCUUCGGGUUGUGAACCUCUUUCGCCAGUGAAGCAGGCCUGCCUCGUUUGUGGGUGGGUUGACGGUAGCUGGAGAAGAAGCGCCGGCUAACUACGUG
rnacentral:rRNA from 1 species